CCCUUAGAUGUUCUGGGCCGCACGCGCGCUACAAUGAUGAAUUCAACGAGUUUAUAACCUUGGUUGAAAAGCCUGGGUAAUCUUUUGAACUUUCGUCGUGAUGGGGCUAGACCCUUGCAAUUAUUGGUCUCCAACGAGGAAUUCCUAGUAAACGCAAGUCAUCAGCUUGCAUUGAUUACGUCCCUGCCCUUUGUACACACCGCCCGUCGCACCUACCGAUUGAAUGUUCCGGUGAGCUCUUCGGACUGCGCGGUCUGCAGUUUCUGCGUUCCGUGCGGAAAGUUGUGCAAACCUUAACAUUUAGAGGAAGGAGAAGUCGUAACA
rnacentral:rRNA from 1 species